UACGGAGGGUGCGAGCGUUGUUCGGAAUCACUGGGCGUAAAGCGCGUGUAGGCGGCCCACUAAGUCUGAUGUGAAAGCCCGGGGCUCACCCCCGGAAGUGCAUUGGAAACUGGUGGACUCGAGUCCCGGAGAGGAGAGUGGAAUUGCCGUGGUCGUAGCGGUGAAAUGCGGUAGAUAUCAGGAGGAACACCUGUGGUGUAGACAGCUUACUGGGACCACUUCUGACCGCUGAGACACGAAAGCGUGGGUAGCAAACAGG
rnacentral:rRNA from 1 species